UUAUCAAGACUUUAAACCAUUUUCCCCCUCUUUUUGGCAAGAUCCUACCUCGCCACAGUCAAGUGCAAAGUCCUGCACCUUGGAAAAAGAAAGCAAUUGCACAGGUACAAGAUGGGGGAUACAUCGCUCAGCAAAAGUACGAGUGAGAGGAAUGUUAGAAUUGUUGUAGAUCGCAAGCUAAAUGUGAGCCAACAGUGGCUUUUUAUUAAUCCAGGUUCUCCAAGUCUUCCUUCCCUUUCUCCUUUCAAGGGAUCACCAUUUUCAAUACAUUUGUGGACUUGCAAUGCCUAUAAAUUAAGUACUGUACAGUGGAGGAAAUUUGCAGGUAAACCAUCAAAUUCUAAUCAAAACCUCAAUUCUAAUCAAAGUCUCUCCUUGUAUUUUUAAGCUGGCUGGAUAGCUCUGUGGUUUAAAUAUCCAGUUGAAGAACCAGAGGAUGCCUGCCGUAUCUCCCACAGGUAACAAAUACGAUGGCCAGAAUUAUACAGAGCCGCUUCUUCUGGCCCUGAAAAGAGUCAAGUGUGAAGCCGGGAAGAAAAGCUU